rnacentral:rRNA from 1 species
GGAUUAAAACAUCCAUCGCCUUAGGGAGAAUAUUGGGUCUAUCAAGUCGUUGGGGGGGGUGAGGGCCCACCAGCCUAGUAAGCAUUCGGGUCCUUGAGAGAGAGCCCGGAGAUGGAUUAUGAGACAAAGGGUCAGGCCCUUCGGGGGGCAGCAGGGCGGAAAACUUUACAAUGCGGGAAACCGCGAUAAGGGGAUACUGAGUGCCAGCAUAUUAUGUUGGCUGUCCACCUGUAUAAACAGCAGGUGUUAGCAAGGGCCGGGGAAGACCGGUGCCAGCCGCCGCGGUAACACCGGCGGCCCGAGUGGUGGCCACUAUUAUUGGGUCUAAAGGGUCCGUAACCGGUUUG